GCUGGAGCUGGGGCGAGGGUCCAGGCCGGCAGGAGGCAGAGGCCAUAGGCAAGGUGGCGCAGGGCCGAAGGGAGGACUGUGCUUUCUUCUGGACGAGAGGCUACAUCUGCCUUUCCUUCUUGCAGGCCCCCCUGUGAGUGGCUGCGAGGGGAAGCAGGCUGGGUGGAGGACCCCGUCACAUGGUCCAGUGGAAGAUGGUGUGGCCUGGGUCAGGGCAGCGGUGAGAGUGGGUGGGCCCACACUCGCCUCCACACUCGGACACGUUGCGGGCACCUGGCAGGCCAAGCCCGUGGUUGCUGGGGCACGGCGUGCAGCUGAGCUGGCCGUCCACGUCCUGGGUCCUCCAAGAACCUCUGCCUCAGCCAGUGCUCCUUGGGGCUCUACCUGGACUUCUGUUCUCGCUCUGGUGAUGCCAGACAUGGACAGCUUCCCAUCCUGCCUCCAGCCCCAACCUCCCGGCCUGUCUAUCAAACUGCCUCCUGGGUGUCUCCACCUGGCAUUCCACAGUCAACUCAUCCAGAACUGAGCCGACUUUCCUCCCCUCUCCUCCUCUCCCUUUCCACCCGAGGACACGGACAGUAUGGGGAGGCCUGGGAGGCACACAGAGGCAUGGGCAGAAGGGCCUGGUGGUUAAGGGAGCGAGGCCAUAAGGGGAUUGAUUGGGGUGGGGGGCUGAAGAGAGAGUCAUUUGUGCUUGGGAGACCGGUUACAUUGAGCAAAUAAGUAAAUGGAUGAGUAAACAAGUAAACUUAGUGAGCAAGUAAGUAAGCUUACUGAGUAAGUAAAUUAUGGAGAAAGGGAGCAAAAUUUCUCACUGCUGGAGAAAAUAUUUACAAACAUGUUUUGGGGAUGGUUACAAAGAACCCUGAGGUAUUGAAUUGGAAUUGGGGGUACUGAUGUGAACUCAUGGUUUUGCAACACACACAGCUAUAGAAAGAACAUAGAUGGAUAUGUGCGUGUGCCUGUGCGUAUACACAGAUCUGUAUGUACAUUUCUUAGCUCUGUCCACUGACAGUCCUAGAAGCAAUGAUAGCUCAGUAGCAAUGAGCACCCAGAGCACCCAGAUAUUGGUGUCUACAUACCAUCCUCUUUUAAAAGGACCCGGGGCCCUUGGAAAUCUGGCAGAUUCCAGGGCCUGGGGCAGGGAAAGUAUAAGUUGAGUCUGAAACAUCUUGUAGUGCCAGAAAACAAGGAAAUCUUCAACGAAUGAUGGGGACAUGUCAAAAGGACACAGGAAGCCAGCUUGUUGGGGAGGCCAAUGGCUAAAUCAGGGACAAGCUGGGCAUCAAACUAAUAGGAAUGGUUCAUAACCCAAUCCGUAUAAGAGGAAUUGGCUGACAUACCUCUUCCUUUGGGAAACCUCCUCCAACCACAGCCCACCCUGGGCAGGAGGCCGCUCAUGCCCCUCACCCCACCCCCCACCGUGGCCUUAUCACCCUGCAGCCUCUCAUAUGAAAAACGCAGCCAGAGAGCCCUGCCCAGGGCCUGAUGCCAGGAGUAGCUCUCCGAAGGGCAGCUCUUGCUAUGAGUACUUCUGUUCUUCUCUCUGGUGGGCCUUUCUCAUGCCCGCGUGUCUUUCUGUCCCCUCCCCACAUGUCUGUCUUCCCUGUGUGCCCACUGCUGCUCACCUGGGUACAUGUGGAAGGAAGGACAGACAACAUUUGCCAAGUCCACCUUGGAGUGGCCAUGGGCAGGGACUUACCACACUUGCCAUCCUGUGGCACCUGGCCUGUGCUGCACGCCCCCUGCCCCUCCAUGGCCUUGGCCGGCCGCUGAGCCACUUCGUACUCAG